rnacentral:tRNA from 1 species
GAGGGUACGGCUCAGUGGCAGAGUGUCCACCUACCAUGUGUGAGGCCCUGGGUUCUAGCCCCAGUACUUUCA